GUCAUUUACAUAUGGAUAAUUUUGGAAUGGUGAAUUGUCAUUUGUAUCUGAAAACAAAUUUCAGAUCUAUUCAGGCCCUCUCUGAAGCAAGUACUUUGUGUCAGCAGAGAGCUAUGUCAGGAAGAUGGAACAGCAUCAGACAUUGUAUGCAUUAACUAUGGUGACUAUGGAGAAGUUCAACUUCUCACAUCCAGUAUAUUACUUCUACCACAAUGUUACAGGGUAAGAUCCAAUUUUUUAAUCAAUGCCUUGGAAAUUGUUUACAGAUAAUGAGUGCCUUUUCUCACUUGAAAAUACACAGAGCUCCUGGGAUCAAGUUGACUCAUGACAGAAGAGAGCACAGCUUGAAUCAGGGAACAACACAGCACCAUGGCAGAAGUAAUCUGCAGCCCAUCAUCUGCACAGACCAGAAGGAAAACGUAUGUUUUAAAGGCAUUUCAGAGAUGUGUUCAACUUCCGUAGUUCCUAUGCAAUAUGGAAUAUCUCCAGAAUCACUCUAGAACAAGAAUCUAUGUUUAGUAAGUCAGUAGACUUUGUUUUCAAGUUUGAAAGUAAGUAUUUAUUUGAUGCUCUCAAGUACCUGGUUUUGUUUUGUGUUUGUUUUUUUUUUUAUAAAUGGCAUGUUUCUUUGUUUCUUGUCAUUGAUUCUUCCGCUCACCACACUGAAACAUCUGUUACUAGGUUAUUUGCGUGUGAUCUUUGGACUUUCAAUUGAAGAAACUAGCCAGAAAGCUAGGGUCCACUUUCCAGCUUGUUUGUCAUGUCCAGUGCUUAAAAAAAAUUAAGAUCUUGCUGAUAUACGUAAAUGCAUAAUGUCUGGGAGCUUACUUUAUAAGGAAAUACAUAAGAGCUAAGUUAAAAUGCAUUAUUAACAGACUGCAUCCAUCUCACAGGUACCUAAGAUUAAAGAACGGUGAAUUCUCUGUGAAGAAAAGCCUAAAAAUCAUAUAACAAGGGGGAAUGGUUUUAAACUAAGACAGGGGAGGUUUAGAUUAGAUAUUAGGAGGAAGUUCUUCGCACAGAGGGUGUUGACCCGCUGGAACAGGUUGCCCAAGGAGGUUGUGGAUGCCCUGUCCCUGGAGGCAUUCAAGGCCUGGGCAGCCUGGUCUGAUGGUUGGUGACCCUGCACAUAGCAGGGGGGUUAAAACUAGACGAUCAUUAUGGUCCUUUUCAACCCCGGCUAUUCUAUGAUUCUAUGAUAAGCAUAGAAUAACAGGAGUUAGACGGGACUUCUGGAGAUCAUUGAGUCCAACCCCAUUGCUAAAGCAGGUUCUCUACAGCAGGUUGCACUACAAAGCAUCCAGGCAGGUUUUGAAUAUCUCCAGAGGAGACUCCACAACCUCUUUGGACAACCUGUUCCAAUGCUCUGUAAUCAGGUGGAUCAUGUUUUUUCUAUACUGACCUCUCAUGACGGCUGUCCUACAAAACUGAAAAUAUGAAAGUUCGUGAGUGCACUCCCCAGAUAAGCCCAAAUGAAAUGACAUUUUUGAAGCAGUUCUUGGGAACAAAAUUAACCAUGAGUCUAUCAUUUUCUUGUUUAAGUGUAACACUCAUUUAAAUGAUUUAGUUUCCCUUUUAGACAUUUAUUUCUACAUACACAAGCUGCCCUCACUCAUCCUAUACAUGCAAACAUAAACAAAUUAAUUAAUUGUUUUCUCCAAUGGUCAUUAAAAGAGUGAGAGAGAUUAUUUGUUUCUAAAUAUUUGAAGCUACUGCUACAGGGAUGUGAUAAUUACCAGACUGACAAGAAAGAAGGCAGCUUUAAAAUGGGAAUAGACACCAUAUUUGCUUGAAUUCCAUAAUAGAAUCUGCAGUAUAAUUUUAUCAUUUUUCCCAUGAAGGCUCUCAGGAGAAAGCUUUGUAGUGUAAGACAAAUCACAUGCCAGGUAUAGUGUCCAAGCACAAACAACUUUUAGAAGAGUGGUUUUCUUCCUAAGGAGGAAUUCAUCAGAUUUGUGGGUGCAUUUCUGGAUGACUGUUUUGGUAUCAAUCAUACUAAGGAAGUCUGAAGAACUUCUAGAAGCUAAAUUCAGAUGGCAAUAAUGAGAAAAGGAAAUGUGGAAAUGUCAAAAGGCAGAUCUGGAAUAAAAUAUCUGGGCCAUUACGUCCCACUACCUCCACCGAUUGCAAAGUAAGAUCUCAAUAGAAAUGUCAAAAUCUCCCUUCUUUAAUACAUUUGCUCUUGAUUCUCCUCCUUAAAGGCUGUUCAUUACUUUUCUAAAUGUUCUUCUGAUUUUCAGGCAAAUUUAAUAUAUGUCCAGUUAAAACCAGUUUGUUUUUGUGACAGCUUUACCCUCUCUGUAGAUAACUCUUUUCUGUUUUCUGUGAUGUAUUAUUGGCAGCAGCUGUUCUCAUCAUAGGCUGAGCUCAGUAGUCUCUCAUCAUAUUGGUUGUUCUUCAGGAAUCUCUACUCCCUUUCCUCUGCAAGUCUUUUAUUUUGAUUCCACCUCUCCGGAUGUUUCAUAUUGUACACCAUAUGAAGCUGAGUGGUUGUGAUUUGGAAUGGGGCUGCAAAUUGACAAGACCUUGCAGUGCACAUCUAUGGAUUGCUCUUGAAGCAGUUAGUUUCACUGUUACAGAUCCACUGUUAUGUUAUGUUGUGCUCAGUUCCUUUUCCCUAGUCAUUAAACUCCGUCUCAUGUCAUUUCCUAUUCACAGAAUCACAGAUUAAUCUAUUCACUUCCUCGUGUCCUCUCUUCUUUUAUGAAGAACUUACCAGAUCUUAGCCAUUUGUAGCAUGAGGGAUUUCCCCAGUACAUUUCUAUCUUUUGUCUUAAGAGCAUCUCUCUUCGUUGAUAUCAAAAUAGUUUGUCUCUUUGGUUUCCCGUAAAAUCAGUUAUCACAUUAAAGAAAUUUUCCUUAUGUCAUCUAUGUUUUGUAAAUUACUUUUGCCCCUUCCAUUUACCAUAAAAUUCAAAUUAGAAGAUCCUUUUAAGAAAGAGUUCCAUUAAAAAGGGGAAGCAAAUCUCUGAAUUCUUGCAAAUCAAAACUGGUGAUGCAGACUAGGAAGAAACUUGUGUACAAGUUUCUGUAAUUUCAUUCCUUGUAUGCGUGAAUUGUUCUGAUUUGAAUGGAUACACAACACUUUGCUUUGACAUUGGUUUACAGUCACUUUAAGCAGGAAUUCCAAGCAGAGACAAACCUGUUCAAUUAAUAGCGAAUACACAGAGGGAAGGAGAGAACCACUGCAAGGGGGAAACUGCCUGUUGCUAAGAGCUGCUCUUGUCAAGGAAACAGAGAUUUGCAAAGCACAUCCCUCCCUGUGACAGGAACAGCUACAUGUCUCCAAAUGUCUCAGAGAAUAGGAAGAAAUAACAUCUGGUCUACUGGGACACAUUGCUGUUCACUGACAGGAGUUUUGAAAGAAAUUAGUGUAGAAGUUUAUAUAAGAGCAGGCAAGUAGAUACAGAACCCAAUACGUCAGAGCAAGAUUCUUGACUUGAAUACGUAAGUUCUACAGUGAUACAAAUUAUUAUUCUCAUCAUUAUUAAUGAUAUGAAUAAUAAUUGCAUUAUCAAUAUUUAUAGUGAAACAUAAGCUUUAAAAUUGUUCACUGCCUACCCUUGUCUGGGUCAGACGCAGAGUAAUCUUUAGCCACUGUUCUAAACCAGACCUCAAGCAUAUCUUUAUAUGUCCCCUAUGCACACCCACUUACAGAUGUCAGCAGCUUCCACUCCAGGGAAAAUGUUUUUACUUCCGCUACAAUAUGAAUACAGUUCUCACCCGUGUCCCUAAGGCACUGUUGGCUUUCCUUAUGCCCUUUAUUUGCAGCAUUACAAUAGCGUUAGAAAUUAAAUGAUUCUUCCUGAAAUUUCAAAUAAAUAACUAAAUACUCAUCUGCUUCAUCUAAUCUCUCUUAAAAAAAAAAAAAUCUAAAAACUUCUUUUCAAAGAAACACUAUGUUCUGAGCAACAGAUCUCUUAUUUUAGAUGAGCUCCCCUCUCACUUCACAGAGGUCAAUGUGCUGCAAUGUUAUGACAAUGGACAACUGUCUUACAUUAUUUUUUAAGGUACUAUCAGCAGCCAAGCAGUAAGGCUGCUUGGAGCAGCAUUCU
rnacentral:lncRNA from 1 species